rnacentral:rRNA from 1 species
CGCGCAGGCGGUUCGGUUAGUGGAAUGUGAAAUGCCCUGGCUCAACCAGGGAACUGCAUUCCAUACUGCCGGGCUUGAGUAUAGGAGAGGAGUGGGGGAAUUCCCGGUGUAGCGGUGGAAUGCAUUGAUAUCGGGAGGAACACCAGUGGCGAAGGCGCCCAUCUGGCCUAAUACUGACGCUGAGGCGCGAAAGCUAGGGGAGCAAACA